rnacentral:rRNA from 1 species
UACAGAGGUGGCAAGCGUUGUUCGGAAUUACUGGGCGUAAAGGGCGCGUAGGCGGCCUACUAAGUCAGACGUGAAAUCCCCCGGCUUAACCUGGGAACUGCCUUCGAUACUGGAGAGCUCGAGUCCGGGAGAGGUGAGUGGAACUGCGAGUGUAGAGGUGAAAUUCGUAGAUAUUCGCAAGAACACCAGUGGCGAAGGCGGCUCACUGGCCCGGUACUGACGCUGAGGUGCGAAAGCGUGGGGAGCAAACAGG